AUGAAUAUUAUCCAACACAAUUAUCCAUCGUUGAUCCAAUGCCUACGAGCUCUUCAUAUAUUGAUCCUUGCUAAGUUACUUUCACUGUUGCUACUAUUACAAUCACUACAAAACCACUACUGUUACUAUUGCCACUGUUACUGUUACAAUCAUACUACUUUGCUACUGAUCACCUUGCUGCAGAUAUUAAGUCUUUCAUGUGUGGUUGAAUUGACAACCCAACUGCUAAUACUUGUGAAUAUUCUUUCGCUCCCCUUGUGUCAAAUCAAUAAAUUUGGGUUGAAUACUCUACACUUGAAAACUAUUGCGAUCCCCUAUACUUGUGGAUUAUCAAGACAUUUUUCUCCCUCCACCACCACUUACUCUCUAAGAGAGCCAUCAAAAUGA
rnacentral:rRNA from 1 species